rnacentral:rRNA from 1 species
GAUGAACGCUGGCGGCGUGCUUAACACAUGCAAGUCGAACGAACCUUCGGGUUAGUGGCGGACGGGUGAGUAACGCGUGAGAAUCUGCCCUCAGGAGGGGGAUAACGGUUGGAAACGACCGCUAAUACCCCAUAUGCCGAUAGGUGAAAUGAAUUUCGCCUGAGGAUGAGCUCGCGUCUGAUUAGCUUGUUGGUGAGGUAAUGGCUCACCAAGGCUUCGAUCAGUAGCUGGUCUGAGAGGAUGAUCAGCCACACUGGGACUGAGACACGGCCCAGACUCCUACGGGAGGCAGCAGUGGGGAAUUUUCCGCAAUGGGCGAAAGCCUGACGGAGCAACGCCGCGUGAGGGACGAAGGCCUCUGGGCUGUAAACCUCUUUUCUCAAGGAAGAAGAUAUGACGGUACUUGAGGAAUAAGCCACGGCUAAUUCCGUGCCAGCAGCCGCGGUAAUACGGGAGUGGCAAGCGUUAUCCGGAAUUAUUGGGCGUAAAGCGUCCGCAGGCGGCCUUUCAAGUCUGCUGUUAAAGCGUGGAGCUUAACUCCAUUAUGGCAGUGGAAACUGAUCGGCUUGAGUAUGGUAGGGGCAGAGGGAAUUCCCGGUGUAGCGGUGAAAUGCUUAGAUAUCGGGAAGAACACCAGUGGCGAAGGCGCUCUGCUGGGCCAUUACUGACGCUCAUGGACGAAAGCCAGGGGAGCGAAAGGGAUUAGAUACCCCUGUAGUCCUGGCCGUAAACGAUGAACACUAGGUGUCGGGGGAAUCGACCCCUUCGGUGUCGUAGCUAACGCGUUAAGUGUUCCGCCUGGGGAGUACGCACGCAAGUGUGAAACUCAAAGGAAUUGACGGGGGCCCGCACAAGCGGUGGAGUAUGUGGUUUAAUUCGAUGCAACGCGAAGAACCUUACCAGGGUUUGACAUCCUGAGAACCUCUUAGAAAUUUGAGGGUGCCUUCGGGAAUUCAGUGACAGGUGGUGCAUGGCUGUCGUCAGCUCGUGUCGUGAGAUGUUGGGUUAAGUCCCGCAACGAGCGCAACCCACGUUUUUAGUUGCCAGCAUUUAGUUGGGCACUCUAGAAAGACCGCCGGUGAUAAACCGGAGGAAGGUGUGGAUGACGUCAAGUCAUCAUGCCCCUUACACCCUGGGCUACACACGUACUACAAUGCUACGGACAAAGGGCGGCAAACUCGCGAGAGCUAGCAAAUCCCAUAAACCGUGGCUCAGUUCAGAUCGUAGGCUGCAACUCGCCUACGUGAAGUAGGAAUCGCUAGUAAUCGCAGGUCAGCAUACUGCGGUGAAUACGUUCCCGGGCCUUGCACUCACCGCCCGUC